rnacentral:rRNA from 1 species
UACGAAGGGGGCUAGCGUUGCUCGGAAUCACUGGGCGUAAAGCGCACGUAGGCGGCUUCUUAAGUCAGGGGUGAAAUCCUGGAGCUCAACUCCAGAACUGCCUUUGAUACUGAGGAGCUUGAGUCCGGGAGAGGUGAGUGGAACUGCGAGUGUAGAGGUGAAAUUCGUAGAUAUUCGCAAGAACACCAGUAGCGAAGGCGGCUCACUGGCCCGGUACUGACGCUGAGGUGCGAAAGCGUGGGGAGCAAACAGG